rnacentral:rRNA from 1 species
AGUUUGCCUAAGAGGGAUAGCCCGCCGAAGGCGGAUUAAUACCCCAUGGUCCCGCAAGGGUAAAGGCGGCUCCGGCUGUCGCUGUGAGAUUGGCUCGCGUCCUAUCAGCUUGUUAGUAAGGUAACGGCUUACCAAGGCAACGACGGGUAGCUGGUCUGAGAGGACGAUCAGUCACACUGGAACUGAGACACGGUCCAGACACCUACGGGUGGCAGCAGUCGAGAAUACUUCACAAUGGGGGAAACCCUGAUGGUGCAACGCCGCGUGGAGGACGAAGGCCCUAGGGUCGUAAACUCCUGUCAUUUGAGAGUAAGACCUGGUCGUUAAUAGCGGACAGGGUUGAUAGUAUCAAAAGAGGAAGGGACGGCUAACUUCGUGCCAGCAGCCGCGGUAAUACGAAGGUCCCGAGCGUUGUUCGGAGUCACUGGGCGUAGAGGGAGCGUAGGCGGUUAGGUAAGUCAGAUGUGAAAUCCCGGGGCUCAACCCCGGAACUGCAUCCGAUACUGCCUGACUUGAGUAAUGGAGGGGUAACUGGAAUUCUCGGUGUAGCAGUGAAAUGCGUAGAGAUCGAGAGGAACACUCGUGGCGAAGGCGAGUUACUGGACAUUUACUGACGCUGAGGCUCGAAGGCUAGGGUAGCGAAAGGGAUUAGAUACCC